CGGUGUUGAUUGCAGCAAUUAUAUUUAGUAUUCGCCGCUUGUAUUCUCGUAAAAUGCAGUCACUUCACUGUCCUAAACUUAAAAGCGUUUAUUGAAACACAAAAACAGCAUUCUGGUGUUAGAGUUUUUAAAUUCAUAUAUUUGUUUACAUUCUCAAAACUAAAACUGCAUGUGUGUGAUUUUUCUGGUGCUUUACCCGGACAACUCAGCAAAAUGCAAUUACAUGGGGAAAAUGCAAAAUUUUCAACUCAGCCAACCAAGUUGUCUUGGUUGUCAACAAGCGAGGACUUGGCCAGGUGAGUUAGCCUGUUACCCAUAUAAUCGCAUUAUUGUUUGUAAUAGUAUUUACUGUAGAAGCCUUGGUAUCUGUAAAAUUGACUCACCUCGGCUAGCCAGAACAACUCGGCUCAUGUAAUCAGCCCCUGAAGGUUUUCUGGUAAAUAUUAAACAUCACAGUUUUUACUAAUUUCUUUGUACAAUAACAAACAGUCUUACACUUUGAGCAGAUCUUUAGAGUAGUAGUAAAUUGUCUUUUCCCACAACUAGCACACGACUGGGACUUUUCACUUCUGUUUUGGACUACUUCCUGUCCCUCAGUGGUAGUCCCCGUCUGCUUUCCAUAAACUGUCGCUUGCACCCUGUGGCAUAAUGCUCACCCGAACCUCAAAUAUAGCAAUGAUAGCAGCCAUUCUUUCCUUGUUUUUGACAUGAUGCACAAGCAGGUAUCCUUGGGUGUCUUGCUGCUGUAGUCAUUCGUCGUAAAUCUAAUGCCCUUACAAGGAAAUCUUGUGCUGUUUAGUUCCUGGUAUGACUCAGUUGCACUUUUCUGCUUAUAAUGUGCUUUUAAUACUUGUAAUAACAGUUCCAGUUCUUCGAUUGUUUCAACAUGUGUUGAAGUUUGAAAGUUGGACUUAUUGCAUGUAGAGCUGCUUUAAUAAUCUCAUUUUGAGGGUAUCCUUUUACCUUCCCAGCGUCAAUUUGUCAUGUUGACUGACUGUCUGGCAAAUGGCAGUCUAUCUUUUUGACUAUCAGAUUAUACCAGUUAUUUUAAACUCUUAUUUAUAAACAGUAAGAUUACCUUGUUUCACUUCAAGAAUUACCCAUAUUUUCCUCGUUAUUUGUGUCGUGUUAAGUUUUAGUCAUUUGGUGGGGCUCAUCAUUGAACCAUUGAACUAACUGAUUGUUUACACCCGAUAAGUGCUUCAUUUUAGCAGUAGUGGAGAGGUUCACUACCACUCUGCGUGUCACUGCUUCCAUACCAUUUUCGGUUUUCCGUAUAUGAAUUUCAAUUUCCUUUUGACUUGUUGACAAAGACUUGUCUUUUGUGAUAGUUGUAGAUGAAUGUCUUUUCAUGGCAUAGUUAAUACGGUCGUCUGUGUUAAAAUUAACUAUGUAUGGUCUUUCUUAGAAGCAUGUGACACGUGUUUGUUCACUCAGCUGCGGUUAUUGACAUUCGCUUCAGGUUGCAAAAGGCAAAAGCCGUGCCUCAUGAAUCAUGAUCCGUAUAAUGUUGUCGGUGUUGCGAUUUUUCCUGACAAAACUACAAACAUUUUACGCUUUAUACCAUUCACUAUAGUGUAAUAGUGAACGUCUUUCAGAAAUUGGGGAACUACACGCGACGUAUCACGCGUUUCUACGAUUUUUCCCGACUUCACAUCAUGCGCUAAAAACCGGCUUAAAAAUAGUUUUCUCAAAUGCGCAAAAGUCUGAAGAUGGAUGUCUUUUAUG
rnacentral:lncRNA from 1 species